rnacentral:rRNA from 1 species
GAACGUUGGCGGUGUGCCUAAUACAUGCAAGUCGAGCGAGAAAACCGGGGCAACUCGGUGAGUACAGCGGCGGAAGGGUGCGUAAUACAUGGUUAACGUACCCCCCAGAUCGGGAUAACCCUCCGAAAGGUGGGCUAAUACCGGGUAAUGGCAGCGGGUGGCAUCAUUUGCUGCUUAAAGACGCAAGUCACUGGGGGAGCGGACCAUGGCCUAUCAGCUAGUUGGCGGGGUAACGGCCCACCAAGGCGAUGACGGGUAGCCGGACUGAGAGGUUGAACGGCCACACGGGAACUGAGACACGGUCCCGACAUCUACGGAUGGCAGCAGUAGGGAAUCUUGCACAAUGGGCGAAAGCCUGAUGCAGCGACACCGCGUGGGGGAUGAAGGCCUUCGGGUUGUAAACCCCUUUCAUGAGGGAAGAAUACUGACCUAACCUCAGGAAGAAGCACCGGCUAACUCCGUGCCAGCAGCUGCGGUAAUACGGAGAGUGCAAACGUUGUUCGGAUUCACUGGGCGUAAAGGGCACGUAGGCGGCUCGGCAAAUCGGUCGUGGAAUCCCGACGCUUACCGUCGGAACGGCGGCCGAAAAUACCGGGCUCGAGGGCGUGAGGGGUCACUGGAACUCCUGGUGAAGCGGUGAAAUGCGUAGAUAUCAGGAGGAACGCCGGAGGCGAAAGCGAGUGACUGGCGCGUUCCUGACGCUGAGGUGCGAAAGCUAGGGGAGCAAACAGGAUUAGAUACCCUGGUAGUCCUAGCCGUAAACGAUGGACACUGAGUGAAGGAGGGCUUGCCCUUCUUUGCUGCAGCUAACGCGUUAAGUGUCCCGCCUGGGGAGUACGGCCGCAAGGUAAAAC